rnacentral:rRNA from 1 species
UACGGAAGGUGCAAGCGUUGCUCGGAAUCACUGGGCGUAAAGGGUGCGUAGGCGGCCGCGCAAGUCUGGCGUGAAAGCCCCGGGCUCAGCCCGGGAAGGGCGCUCGAAACGGCGCGGCUCGAGUGCCGGAGGGGAGAGUGGAAUUCCUGGUGUAGCGGUGAAAUGCGUAGAUAUCGAGAGGAACACCUGCGGCGAAGGCGGGUUGCUGGGCUGAUACUGACGCUGAGGCGCGAAAGCCAGGGGAGCGAACGGG